rnacentral:rRNA from 1 species
GUACCUUUUGUAUAAUGGGUCAGCGACUUAUAUUCUGUAGCAAGGUUAACCGAAUAGGGGAGCCGGAGGGAAACCGAGUCUUAAUUGGGCGUUAAGUUGCAGGGUAUAGACCCGAAACCCGGUGAUCUAGCCAUGGGCAGGUUGAAGGUUGGGUAACACUAACUGGAGGACCGAACCGACUAAUGUUGAAAAAUUAGCGGAUGACCUGUGGCUGGGGGUGAAAGGCCAAUCAAACCGGGAGAUAGCUGGUUCUCCCCGAAAGCUAUUUAGGUAGCGCCUCGUGAAUUCAUCUCCGGGGGUAGAGCACUGUUUCGGCUAGGGGGCCAUCCCGGCUUACCAACCCGAUGCAAACUGCGAAUACCGGAGAAUGUUAUCACGGGAGACACACGGCGGGUGCUAACGUCCGUCGUGAAGAGGGAAACAACCCAGACCGCCAGCUAAGGUCCCAAAGUCAUGGUUAAGUGGGAAACGAUGUGGGAAGGCCCAGACAGCCAGGAUGUUGGCUUAGAAGCAGCCAUCAUUUAAAGAAAGCGUAAUAGCUCACUGGUCGAGUCGGCCUGCGCG